rnacentral:rRNA from 1 species
AUUGAACGCUGGCGGCAGGCCUAACACAUGCAAGUCGAGCGAGCGGCGGACGGGUGAGCAAUGUAUGGGGACUGCCCGAUAGAGGGGGAUAACUAGUGGAAACGGUGGCUAAUACCGCAUACUAUCGGAUAAACCAUACGGGAUUAGCUAGUAGGGGGGGGAAAGGCUCACCUAGGCGACGAUAUCUAGCUGGUCUGAGAGGAUGAUCGGCCACACUGGGACGGAGACACGGCCCAGACUCCUACGGAGGCAGCAGUGGGGAAUAUUGCGCAAUGGGCGCAAGCCUGAUGCAGCCACGCCGCGUGUGUGAAGAAGGCCUUAGGGUUGUAAAGUACUUUCGGCGGGGAGGCGUUACCCGAAGAAGAAGCACCGGCUAACUCCGUGCCAGCAGCCGCGGUAAUUC